UUAAAUUGAAGAGUUUGAUCAUGGCUCAGAUUGAACGCUGGCGGCAGGCCUAACACAUGCAAGUCGAACGGUAGCACAGAGAGCUUGCUCUCGGGUGACGAGUGGCGGACGGGUGAGUAAUGUCUGGGAAACUGCCUGAUGGAGGGGGAUA
rnacentral:rRNA from 1 species